CACAUAUUACCAUAACACAUAUAAUAAUAUGAAUAUCAAUAUACUAAUGAUGCAUAUGCUUGAAAUAGCGUAAGAAUUACCAAAACAUGACAUAGAGACACAAAGUAAAUGCAUGCUGUUGGAACAUGAUGCUGAUAGACUUGCCCCAUAUAGGCCACAAACCUUCAAUUUGUAAAAACCACAACAUCUGUCUGAAGCACAACAAAGCAAAGCACAAUAAUAUGAGUCAUGAUUGUAUUCAUUUUGAGCCUCUUUUUCUUAUAGUUUAUACUCAGUCAGAUAUAUUUUAACCUAUUGUUUCAAAUAUGUAACUUUCUGCAUCUCUUUGUUUUGGCAGUGCAAGUAAAUCUUUCCUGUUGAUGAGUGAGAGAGAUUAUAGUGGACUUGGUGGUGGGAGGAAAAUGUCAUCUUAGUCUUUUCAGGAGUUAAACAUACCUACAUUUGUUGUACUGGAUACAUUCAGCACAUAACCACAUUCUAUUAACAAGGAACCACGUAUAUUAUACAAUGGUGGUCCCACAAGGUAAUACCACAUUUGUUGUACUGGAUACAUUCAGCACAUAACCACAUUCCAUUAACAAGGAACUACGUAUAUUAUACAAUGGUGGUCCCACAAGGUUAUACCAUAUUGUCACUGUGUCUUUUAUAUGUUUAGGUAUGUUUAGAUACACAACUUCUGAAGGUCUUGCUCUGUCAUCUGGGCUGGAGUGCAGUGGCACAAUCUUGGUUCGCUGCAAACUCCUUCUCCUGGGCUCAAGCCAUCCUCCCACCUCAGCUAACCAAGUAGCUGGAACUACAGGCACCCACCACCGUAGCCACCUAAUUUUUUAUUUUUUGUAGAGACAGGAUUUCACCAUGUUGUCCAGGUUGGUCUCGAACUCCUAAGCUCAAGUGAUCCCCCUGGCCUCGGCCUCUCGAAGUUCUGGAUUAACAGGCGUGAGCCACCACGCCCAGCCCACAUCCUUUUCUUUAUAGAAUUUAGCAUAUUGUAAUUUUUUUGUUAACGUGUAAUUAAAUGUUUAAUGUAGUUCUCUCCAACUAGAUUUUAGACUCUAUUAAAAUAGUCUAUGUAUUUUUUCUUACCCUUUUGUUCCUAAUGACCUGCAUAAUUCAUGUCCCAUAGUGAGCACUCAGUAAAUAAGCAAGAUUAUCUUACCUAAGUAAACAUAAUAAUUAUGUGAAUAGGGGCCAGCAAGGAGAGACUUGCAUGUUAUGUGUAAGACACCAGCACUCUAAAAGAAAAUGUUAAGAAGUGAAGAUUAUCUACAUUGGCAUUUCGAGAUAAAAAUGAAACCUGUUAAGUAGUACUUCUCAGUGGGAACUGGCAAUUGUUUAAUAGAUUUGUAAAAGUAAUACUGACUUGUGAGAAUAGCAGGUUUAAAAGUUGAAGAUGAAAGAAGAAACAGUGAUGGACAAGUGAAAUAACUAAGAAAGUAAAUAUAAUCAAAACUUAAGAGAAAAAACAGACUAAAUUCAAAGAAAAUUUUAGACACUUUUUCUAGUCUGGCCACCUCCAGUCUCUAACUCACUUUAUAAACUACUACUGGAGUUAUCCUGCUGAAGAGCAGGCCUGAUCAUUUCACAUAUUUGCAGUCUUUUAGACAUUCGUGAGAGAGUACAGCUGGUAAAGUGCUGCUUAUCACUGAGUAUAUGCACAAAAUAAAGAACUAUAUUUUUUAUCACAUAUGCUUGAUUAAUUUUAUUGUCAAAUAUUUUUGGGAAAGUUGGCUUUCCUAUUUAUAAGUUCAAAUAAUUUACAGAUUGAAGCAAUCAGCAUGGAUUGCUUCAUGGAUGAGUUCAGGCAUCUAUACUUCAAUGCCUAUCAUCUCACAGGAACUGGCAAUUUGAUUCCUUGCUUGAUUAUUUUAAUGUACAAUAUAUUACUUUUCAGAGGUUCAAAUCAUGCAAAACAAACUAAUUUUCUUCAUUACAUUGCAAGGUAUUCUAAGUACCAGGAGAUAUUGCAGAGUGUAAACCAAUUUAAGUGUACAGAACAACAUGUUGGGAGUUUGAUUUUAUAUCAUAGUUUGGGAAUAAGCCUAAUGACCUAUUCUUUUAAUUGUUAUAAGCAAUUUGUUUGAAUUGUACACUACAAACAGCCCUUUUUGAUUGAGUUCCAUUUUUGCUCCAGUAUGAUUACCUACUCAUAGGUAGAUGAUAGAUAGAUGAUAGAUAGAUAGAUAGAUAGAUGAUAGAUGGAUGGAUAGAUAGAUAGAUAGAUAGAUAGAUAGAUAGAUAGAUGAUAGAAGUUCUUAGCAGACUUCUGGAUAACAAUAAUGAGAACACUUAGGAUUAGUGACCUUUUUUUUUAAUCUAAUUAUUAUGUUCUAAACAGAAUUCCAGAAACAAAACUUAGAAAAAAUCCUUACUGAUACAAUACCUGAGCUUUCUGUUUUCUAGCAAUGUUCCCUUGUAUUAAAA
rnacentral:lncRNA from 10 species